GGAGAAGGCUCCAAACAUCUGAAAAGCAGAACGUGCAACUUGCAGCUGACAGAAGUCGGCACCUGCUGGCAACCCCCAUUCUCCGGGCUCGACCAUUAACUCCAAGAAGGCCGGGACUGUUUCUGUCUCAUUGUCAUCUAACCUGACACACAGAAAGUACCUGAUGAGCAUGUGUCGAAUGAAUGAAUGAGGACGUGGCCCUGAGAGGGCGAGCUCACUGCCAUCAUCAGUGUCCAUUGUCCCUCAGCACCAGCAGCACCGGCCCACUGUGGCCCUCCAUCUGCCGGUACAAGGUCCGCAGACUGAAGCCGUCCCUCGCCGUGCAGAAGACCAGGCUCCAGGGAUGUCCACUUACUCGUGGUGGGAGGUGGAGGCUGAGCUGGAGACAGAGCCGGAGACGCGGCAUCCUCCACCUGGCUGGGCUGUGAAGGACAAAGAGACCUGGUGGGUCCAGAAACAAGGGAUGGGACCAGCUCCCAUCACUUCCCGAGCCUCGCCACCCUGUCCAGCCCAGCGUAGCUAAGAAGGACUCUGCCCCUGCCUUUGGCCUGCCUCUUCCCUGGCUCCUGCCAGCUGACGGUCAAAGCACACGCACACCCGCUCCCAGAGCUGCCCAGAUGCCGCAGAGCCUGCACUGUUUGCUAUGGGUCCAGGUGGGUGCCAGGGAUCAAAUUCUGCGUCUGGGAGCAGGAGAGAAGGGCAGGUGACACCUGUCCCCAGGGCUGCCUCUAUGCAUUUUGCACAUGAAAUAAAUGAUAACAACA